GUCAGGCAUGAUUCAUCCCAGCUAGUCGAGCUGGCCCGGCGGCUCCCGUGUUGAACCUGUAUCGCAUACAUGACUUGCCGUCAAUUAGCCCUAUUCACAUUAGAGACGGACAAGUCGUCUAGACGAACAAAUCGUCUCUCAAAAAUCGUCUUCACAGACGGACAAGUAGUCGAGACGGACAAGUAGUCGUCUAAAAUGUUGUCCGACACGUUUUCACAUCUGGUAUUUGUCCGACUAAAAGACGAUUUUGAGACGAUUUGUUCGACUAGACGACUUGUCCGUCUUC